rnacentral:snRNA from 1 species
GUGCUCGCUUCGGCAGCACAUAUGCUAAAAUUGGAACGAUACAGAGAAGAUUAGCAGCGCCCCCGCGCAAGGAUGACACGCAAAUUCGUGAAGCGUUCAUAUUUUCU